CCUACGGGAGGCAGCAGUAGGGAAUUUUCGUCAAUGGGCGCAAGCCUGAACGAGCGAUGCCGCGUGAGUGAAGAAGGCCUUCGGGUCAUAAAGCUCUGUUGCGGGGGAAAAAAGGCAGCAUCAGGAAAUGGGUGCUGACUGAUGGUGCCCCGCCAGAAAGUCACGGCUAACUACGUGCCAGCAGCCGCGGUAAUACGUAGGUGGCGAGCGUUAUCCGGAAGGAUUGGGCGUAAAGGGUGCGCAGGCGGUCCUGCAAGUCUGGAGUGAAACGCAUGAGCUCAACUCAUGCAUGGCUUUGGAAACUGGAGGACUGGAGAGCAGGAGAGGGCGGUGGAACUCCAUGUGUAGCGGUAAAAUGCGUAGAUAGAUGGAAGAACACCAGUGGCGAAGGCGGCCGCCUGGCCUGUUGCUGACGCUGAGGCACGAAAGCGUGGGGAGCAAAUAGGAUUAGAUACCCCUGUAGUC
rnacentral:rRNA from 1 species